rnacentral:lncRNA from 1 species
AGGAAUUCCAAAGUAAACAGCUCUAAUUUUUUUUUUUUUUUUUUCUGUCCAGAAGGUGGAAAUGUCCUUGGAUCUGCCCCAGCCAAAGGCCGGAAAUGAAAAUGGGAAGUUCUGGAUUCUGUCAUGGUUUCUCCUAAUCUCUCUUCCCCUAAUGAUUUGUCCUUUCCUGGCCCUGGGAUUGGCUCCUUCUAAACUUCCGUACUUGCAAAGGUGCCAACCAGAAGGACUUGGAAGCCUAUGCUAGUUUGGAGCAUGCAAGAAUUUUCCUAAAAAUCUUUCCAGAAAUCUACUCUCUGUCAACACUACACUACAAUAUUGAAAAUGUAAGCAGACGUAUGGCCUCUCCCCAUCUCCCACUCUGCGACCUGCAGAUGAGGGAAAGCUUCAGCCAGAUUGGGAUUAAAAGACUCCUCUUUACUCUUGUGAUCAAAGCACACUACCAGCCACAAGACUUGUCAGCAUCGCACCCUCCCGAUUCAGCCUGCUGACCGUUUGCCCAACAUUACUUCCACCGGAUUCUUAUAAAAUGUACAACCUACAUCUAACCGUGAGAAACAUCAAACCAACUCAGACUGGAGAACUGUCUAUAAAGGAGCUGUCAAGCCUCGACGUGAUGAAAGGCAAGAAAAGAAGUGUCACAGAGGAUGGAAAGCAGGACCUGGAGACACAAAUGUGUCAUUCCUGAAAAACGGGUUAAAAGCUCACAGAGGACCCACAGUUUGAUACAUGGCUUUUUAC